CUGGAUCAAGACGAUUUGAUCGUCCUUCCAGUUAUUAUCCUGGUUUUGGUUGCAAGGCCAAGGGCAAGGACAUAAGCACAGUUGGCCGUCACCAAGUGACACCAUUGUGCUCUACGUUGCCGGGCGAGCAGGACCCCUGUUCUCUCACACUCUAAAAUGAACACACGGCAGAAUGGGAACAAAAGCCCUCAAACCCUUCCAGGCAACAGGCAUUCCAGUCAGGCUGCGUCAGGGGGGAGCAAGUCCCUGCUGGAAUGCUGGCUAUGCCAGACGCCAGACCCACCACCGUCUCCACACCCCACCAGGUCCCCAGCCCACCCAGACCUGCCUACACACCAUGAUCAUACACACCAGAUGUAGCAGUGGGUAAACCCAGAGUGUUGUGGGUAAAUAGGUAGGUAAAAUCCUUGUGCAAAAACACUUCUCUGACUUAAUAUGUGGGUUAACGUAAUUCACCAA
rnacentral:lncRNA from 1 species